rnacentral:rRNA from 1 species
GAUGAACGCUGGCGGCGUGCCUAAUACAUGCAAGUCGAGCGAACGGACGAGAAGCUUGCUUCUCUGAUGUUAGCGGCGGACGGGUGAGUAACACGUGGAUAACCUACCUAUAAGACUGGGAUAACUUCGGGAAACCGUAGCUAAUACCGGAUAAUAUUUUGAACCGCAUGGUUCAAAAGUGAAAGACGGUCUUGCUGUCACUUAUAGAUGGAUCCGCGCUGCAUUAGCUAGUUGGUAAGGUAACGGCUUACCAAGGCAACGAUGCAUAGCCGACCUGAGAGGGUGAUCGGCCACACUGGAACUGAGACGCGGUCAAGACUACUACGGGAGGCAGCAGUAGGGAAUCUUCCGCAAUGGGCGAAAGCCUGACGGAGCAACGCCGCGUGAGUGAUGAAGGUCUUCGGAUCGUAAAACUCUGUUAUGAGGGAAGAACAUAUGUGUAAGUAACUGUGCACAUCUUGACGGUACCUAAUGAGAAAGCAACGGCUAACUACGUG